UACGCCCGCUCAUGAAAUAUUGCGUAGGCGUACUCAAUGAGUGCAGCGCAGAGCAAACGUAGGUCGGGCAUGGACGCCCGACCAGCCGGCAUUGAGCAUGGACGCGAAUUGCCGGCGUUAGCUUGCUCAAGCGAAACGAAUUGUAAGUACGCCUACGCAAUAUUUCAUGAGCGGGCGUA
rfam:Mahella australiensis 50-1 BON, complete genome.